rnacentral:tRNA from 1 species
UGUAAAAUAAGCUAAGUUUAAGCUAUUGGGCUCAUGCCCCGAAUAUGAAUAUAUUAUUCUUUUACAG